AUGGCUUCGCGCGACUGGCGAUCAGGAUCAUGACGCCCUGCUACAGGGCGAUGGUUUGAGGUGGUGGACCACCGGGGAGCGCGAACGGUUCAUGGAUUUGGUCCUGAACUGAAUUUGCCGUUCGCCUGGGCCGUCCUG
rfam:Paucibacter sp. KCTC 42545, complete genome.